AUGGCAUUGAAUCUGUGGAUAGUCUAUCAAGCACUCCUACUGGUGUGGAGACACCCGAUGUUAUUGACCUUCGUAAACAACAAAGAAAGGAACCUGACAGGCCCCUUUACCAAGUCCUUGAAGAAAAGGAAGAGAGAGUUGCUCCUGGGACUUUGCUUGGAACUACACAUACUUAUGUUAUUAGUGGCGGUACUCAAGAUAAGACGGGAGCCAAAAGGGUUGAUUUGCUUAGAGGUCAAAAAUCUGAUAAAGUGGACGUUACUUUACGACCUGAAGAAUUGGAAGCGAUGGAAAACGUUCUCCCUGCAAAGUACGAGGAAGCUAGGGAAGAGGAGAAGUUACGGAGUCAGAGG
rnacentral:misc_RNA from 1 species